rnacentral:rRNA from 1 species
UACGGGGGGGGGCAAGCGUUGUUCGGAAUUACUGGGCGUAAAGGGCUCGUAGGCGGCCAACUAAGUCAGACGUGAAAUCCCCAGGCUUAACCUGGGAACUGCGUCUGAUACUGGAUGGCUUGAAUUCGGGAGAGGGAUGCAGAAUUCCAGGUGUAGCGGUGAAAUGCGUAGAUAUCAGGAGGAACACCGGUGGCGAAGGCGGUUCUCUGGGCAUUACCUGACGCUGAGGAGCGAAAGCUAGGGGGAGCAAACAGGG